rnacentral:rRNA from 1 species
AUGGUGCGGGCCGCCCUGCUGCUUAGCCAGGGCCAGGGCGAGGCCUUCCUGACCAAUCUCGCCGACGACGAUAUCCUCCUCUUGCUCGCCAAGCAGGCACCUGCGCUAAAGUGCCUCCAUCUCCAUAGGGGUUAUGUCUCGGAUGAAGGAUUUGCCACGGAGAUUAAAAUGUUACCUCUACUUGAGGAGCUCGAGAUUUCGAAAUGUCCCCAAAUAUAUAGUAGGGAGGUAUAUGAACUUGUUGCUACAGCAUGCCCACUGCUAAAGCACUUCAGACAUGUCUCAGGAAAGCACUGCCAUGCUGAUUAUGCAAUAACAUUUGCGGCUCCAAGGAUGUGCAAACUACGUUCUUUGGAUGUUGUCGGUUGUACCUUCGGUAGGGAAGUUCUGGUAGCUAUCCUAGACAAUUGCCAUGACCUACAGUACCUUAACAUGGCAGUGUGCAACCCUAUUGCCAUUGAUAACCUACCAGAAAAGCUUGCCUGGAUGAGCAUGGAUGACCAUGAUCGGUACUCGAGCAACUACUACGAUGACUAUACUGGUUGUAAAUACUGUUAUCCCUACAAGCCUAGGUGUAGAUACUGCCGUCCCUUAUCCUUUCCGCAGUACGAAGACGAUUCCUAUGAUGAUUACUGCUACUACCUUGGUGACGGUGAUGAUGUUGAUGAUGCCGUUCUCGAAGAGUAUGAGAAGAUCCUUGACAUCAAGAGCAUGCGUAGGUACUUAAGUUAA